UACAGAGGGUGCGAGCGUUAAUCGGAAUUACUGGGCGUAAAGCGCGCGUAGGCGGCUUUGCAAGUCGGGUGUGAAAUCCCCAGGCUUAACCUGGGAACUGCAUUCGAGACUGCAUUGCUAGAGUAUGGGAGAGGGAAGUGGAAUUUCAGGUGUAGCGGUGAAAUGCGUAGAUAUCUGAAGGAACAUCAGUGGCGAAAGCGACUUCCUGGACCAAUACUGACGCUCAUGUGCGAAAGCGUGGGGAGCAA
rnacentral:rRNA from 1 species